CCCCCACUGUACUGUGAAGCUCAGGGCAAGACUUUCUAAAAGUCUUCUGCCUACACCUGACAUGCUGUCCAGUGUGCACAGUUAUAUGUUGACUGUAUGAAGAUGGUGAAGGCUUUUCUGUAGUUGCAGAUCUCGCAAAAGGGGAGGAAGGCCUUCACCGCUGAACCCGAGCUUUGCCAUUUCGAAGUGCUGAGUCACCUCGUCCUCUCAGGGUCAGACACUUUCACGCAGGAAACGUCCUGCAGAGCACCGCAGCGGGAGCACCGAGCUGACCUGGAAGGAGAGAACAAGGGCCUUCCUGAGGCAGGACAAGGACCCAGAACUACCCAGAAUGCAGCAGGGCGGCCCCGCACGACUGAGCUCUGAUCCUAACCUGCAAAGUGAAGUUUCAAUUUCCACUUCCUGAGAAGGUCAGGUGUAUAGGUGUGAACCAAGUGCACGUCUAGUUCCCUUGGAGGCCAGAAAGAAGGCGGUGUCAGAUCCCCAGGAACCAUAGUUACAGAUGGUUGAUGUGGAAACUCAGAGAGGAUGCCACUGUUUUGAACUAUUUUGAAGGCACAGCCACCAGAGCUUUAGGUCAGAAGAGGUCCUUGGAACUGGAAUUACAGGUGGCUGUGAGCCUCCAGGUAGGUGCUGAGAAUCAAGCAGCCUGGCUCCUCUGUAGGAGCUCUAAGGAAUGCUCUUACCUGCUGAGCCAUCUGUCCAGCCCUGAUUGUCCUGGCUGUUAAUUGAGGAAGGAAGACUUACUCUGAGGGAGGGCUGAGCCAGUCCCCAGGCUGCUCCCUGAAUGGUAUGUAGAGGAGGGGAGCCAGCUAAGCACUGACCAGCGAGGGUGUGCACAUUUUCUUUGGUCUUUGUUUUGAAUGUGGUGUGGCUGGCUGCUUCAAUUCCUGACUUGAUUUCCUCAAAAGGAUAGGCUGUAACCCAGAAUGGUAAACUGCCUU
rnacentral:lncRNA from 1 species